AAAAUGACUCUCGGCAACGGAUAUCUCGGCUCUUGCAUCGAUGAAGAACGUAGCGAAAUGCGAUACUUGGUGUGAAUUGCAGAAUCCCGUGAACCAUCGAGUCUUUGAACGCAAGUUGCGCCCGAAGCCACCAGGCYGAGGGCACGCCUGCCUGGGCGUCGCA
rnacentral:rRNA from 1 species